GAUGAACGCUGGCGGCGUGCCUAAUACAUGCAAGUCGAGCGAACGGACGAGAGGCUUGCUUUUCUGAUGUUAGCGGCGGACGGGUGAGUAACACGUGGAUAACCUACCUAUAAGACUGGGAUAACUUCGGGAAACCGGAGCUAAUACCGGAUAAUAUUUUGAACCGCAUGGUUCUAAAGUGAAAGACGGUCUUGCUGUCACUUAUAGAUGGAUCCGCGCUGCAUUAGCUAGUUGGUAAGGUAACGGCUUACCAAGGCAACGAUGCAUAGCCGACCUGAGAGGGUGAUCGGCCACACUGGAACUGAGACACGGUCCAGACUCCUACGGGAGGCAGCAGUAGGGAAUCUUCCGCAAAGGGCGAAAGCCUGACGGAGCAACGCCGCGUGAGUGAUGAAGGUCUUCGGAUCGUAAAACUCUGUUAUUAGGGAAGAACAUAUGUGUAAGUAACUGUGCACAUCUUGACGGUACCUAAUCAGAAAGCCACGGCUAACUACGUG
rnacentral:rRNA from 1 species